UACGUAGGAGGCGAGCGUUGUCCGGAGUUACUGGGCGUAAAGGGUGCGCAGGCGGCGUCACGCGUGGAUAGUUGAAAUCUCCUGGCUUACCUGGGAGGGUGGUAUCCAGACGGUGGCGCUUGAGGGUCGGAGAGGGGCGUGGAAUUCCGGGUGGAGCGGUGAAAUGCGUAGAGAUCCGGAGGAAGACCGGUGGCGAAGGCGGCCUGCUGGGCAGUUACUGACACUGAGGCGCGACAGCGUGGGGAGCAAACAGG
rnacentral:rRNA from 1 species